GAUGAACGCUGGCGGCGUGCCUAAUACAUGCAAGUCGAGCGAAUGGAUUAAGAGCUUGCUCUUAUGAAGUUAGCGGCGGACGGGUGAGUAACACGUGGGUAACCUGCCCAUAAGACUGGGAUAACUCCGGGAAACCGGGGCUAAUACCGGAUAACAUUUUGAACCGCAUGGUUCGAAAUUGAAAGGCGGCUUCGGCUGUCACUUAUGGACGGACCCGCGUCGCAUUAGCUAGUUGGUGAGGUAACGGCUCACCAAGGCAACGAUGCGUAGCCGGCCUGAGAGGGUGAUCGGCCACACUGGGACUGAGACACGGCCCAGACUCCUACGGGAGGCAGCAGGAGGGAAUCUUCCGCAAUGGACGAAAGUCUGACGGAGCAACGCCGCGUGAGUGAUGAGGGCGUUCGGGUCGUAAAACUCUGUUGUUAGGGAAGAACAAGUGCUAGUUGAAUAAGCUGGCACCUUGACGGUACCUAACCAGAAAGCCACGGCUAACUACGUGCCAGCAGCCGCGGUAA
rnacentral:rRNA from 1 species